ensembl:lncRNA uncharacterized LOC114442705
CCCUGAGGGAUGCUGCUAACGGCGUGAAAGCACUAAGGAGCUGGGACCCGACAAGCCCAAAAUAACCAUCACCCAGCCAACCAAAGAGAAAGGAAGGGCAUUUAACAGGACAUUUAGCAGAAAUUGUUUCCAGCGCAAAUCGUGGCUAACAGGCUGUGGAAUAGCUAAUGCACUUUUUUGUUUCCCCUGCAUACAUGACAGGUGCGAUUCGACUUGGGCAGAGUCUGGACAGGUUGAUUUAGAGCACCUCUCUGAACGCAUUAAAAUGCACGAACGAUCAAAAGUUUACAUGGAAAACUGCAUAAAGCUAGCUGUGCUCAGAAAGAUUAGCAUCCCUCAGAUCAGUCCCUUUUUUCCGACAUGGGAGGAUUUGCUUCUUUUUUCCCCACAAGAUCGAGCAAGAGAACCGCAGUGCUUGAUGAGGUGAUGGCGCAUCACCGAAGAGAAAAGCCCCACCAAAAAAAUUUCACCAGCCGCCACUGAGCAUACCUGCUUUAAAUAUACAAUAACAAAGUAAGCUGUUAAAUUAUAGACAAAACUAUGUGUGUGUGUGUUGAACGCUGCUCCUGGCUGUCAGGUAAAGCUAUGACCUGUAGAUGGCAUCCUGUCACAAUCAACACGCGCUGCCUGGCUGCAGCCAAUCACAGCUCCGCUUUCACCACUUUUAAUAAAGUUCGUUGUUUUCCGUCGUUUGACUUCGGACCUUCGAGGAAACAGCCUCGGCUUCCUCUGUGUGCUGAAGAAGAUGUGGGCGAACAACACGAGCAGCACACAUCGGCUCAAAGUGGGAAGCGGAGAGAGCCUGCUGUGAGGACAGAAGAUGUAUCUAUGGCGCUUCUCCAUCGCCAUAACUCUGGGAUUGAUCUGGUAUUUUUCAGACUGCGGCCGCACAGCCUUACACUAUUUUAUAUGUUCCUUGUGUUGCCUGUGUACUCCACUGGUGUUUGGAAAUAGAGGGCGAGAAAGCAGCACUCAGACUGAUGAAGAGACGAAGGAGAGUCCUGUCCAGGAAGCUGUUGAGGAAGAGCGGUAUGUUGGCCUAACAGAUGGAGCCCCUGGUGAUCAGGCUGAAUCACCUGGUUCUCAGUAUCCACAUGUGAAGAAGUCUCUGCAGCAAGUGUUUGAGUGUGCCUAUGCUCAGCUGGUCCUGCCUUGGUACAGCAUCCCUGAGCCAUGUGUGCAGCAACCUCUGUACCAUGUGCUUAGCAGGGAGUUCGACUUUGUGACCGAUCGCAUCAUUGAAAGAGCUCAAAACUUUGACGUGUGCCAGGCAGUCGUGGGCUCCAUCCGGAUUCUGACACAGCAUUUGCAUAAAGCAAAACAGUCUGACAGAGAGCUCUUGUUCAGCUCCAGAUCAGAGGAGAUCGAAGUUCUCAGGGAGUUUUCUGACGUUCUGCUACGUAACCUUUUCUCCGAAUCUCUCUGGGGCCACGAAGUCAACCGAUGUGCCUUAAAUGAGAUCAUUGCCUUAAAGGGUUUGGGACUGCUGGUUACAUGGCUAUCCGACCCCGACAACCUGAACCAGCUGGUGGUGAGCCAGCUGGACAGCGUGACACCUAAAAGUUCUGUGGAGGAGCUGUGUGGAUCAGACCCAGACCAAACCUCUCUGGCUUCACACAAAGGCGAGGAGGAAGGCAGUGAUGUCUUGCAGGGAGCCGAGAUGUCAACCACCACCAUGAAAAAGGGAAAAGAGGAAAAAGGGAAAGGCAAUAGAUUAAAAGAAGGAUGGUCCAAAUUCGUGGACAAGGUGAAGUCCAAGAAAGCCAAGAAUAAGAAGAUGAAAAAAAAGGAGCAGAUGCUGGUGACGAAGAUCAUGGCGAUCCAGGGUGAUGUGUGCAGCGAGGACAAUGUCAGCAGCAGGGAGGGCUCCGUUUACAGCCAGGAGGACUCUGAGAGGGAGGACAGCGAUCUGGAGAGCUAUCUGACAACCGUUCAAGAGGACAUGAUGGAAUUUAAGCUGUCAUACGAGAUGUGGCGUGUUGGCUGCUGGGCUGUCAGCAUCACUCAUGCUGGCUGGGAGGAUGAGGAGCUGAUCUUCACUGUUCACCUGGAGGAAAAGGACAGCCCUGAGAACCUGCAGUGGGACAUCAAGAAGACCUACAUGGAUGUUAUUAACUUCCGCAACAGAUGGCAGGACUCCACCAGCUUGCCUACGAUCCUGAUGCUGGAGAACUCUGAGAUCAAUAACGAAGUGAAAGAAGAAGCUCGGGUAUCAGUGGAGCAUUUCCUGCAGGAAUUAGUGUCUGAUAGUCUGGUCUGCCACACUGAGCCGGUUUUUCAGUUCCUCUGCCCGCUUGACAAGCUCUUGAAUGAAGAGGAACAUUAUGGAGGCGUGUGGGGCCUGCUCAGUGGCUUGGCUUACUUCCUGACUCCUGGCCAAGAGGAGGAAGAGACCUCCACCCCUCAGACAGAAGCCCCAAAAGAAAUCCUAAUGUCAUCUCCACAUACAGAAAUCCAUGGUGCCUCCACUGCCGAGAAAGGCAACGAUUGUCUCAGUGCUUCUCUCCCAUCUAUUGUUAUCUCCCAGUGUGAGUCUCCCUCAGAACCGCCUGAGGAAGCUGAGGCUGAAGCAAAUCUGCAGUCGGCUGUCAGCUCAGAUGCCUCAAAUGGAAACUGUUCACAAGAGAAAACCGAGGACUCUGAUGGCCAUUUAACCUCCCACUUUAAAAUGAUCUUCAAAGGACUGACCCGGUCCAGGUCACAAGAGUCUCUGGCCUCAAACAAAAUCAGCUCUGAUGAAGACCCGUCUGAUUCAGAGGGACACUCACAGCGGGAGAGCGCUGAAGGCCCAUCGAGGCCGAAUUUCAGCACAAAGUCAAAUAAGAAGGAGAAAAUAUGCUUCAAGAUGUCGAGUGGAGCGAGCAAGGCUAAAGGAAAGGAGACUCUGCAGAGAGGGGAGGACCCCCAGUGUCCGAAGAGCCCAGUCAACUGGGAGCAGCUGGAGGCGACUAAAGCCAUAUUUGAUCUGCUGAAAGAAAUAUCUGGAAACUCCAUCCUCAUAAAUAUAUUUGAUGCCAUUUUAAAACCUGUGAUGCCCAUCUUGAAAAAGAAAGUGAACUCUUUCCUCAACCAGUUGAACCCGACAGAAGUGCAGAUCGCUGCGCACAUCGACACCCUGCGCAGCCAGCAGUGGCCAGAGUCUCAGGCUGCAGCACCACCUCCUCCUCUUCCUCCUCCUCGCACUGAUGAAGAGAAGGACGAGACCAAAGAACGAGCACAUAAACUAAUUAAUGCCAGAUAUACCAAGUAUCUUGUGCUGAAGAAGACGGACGUGGAGUCUGUUUUUAAUCUUUUCCAGGACAGUGAUGAAAACAAAACACUUGUCUAUAUGCUCCUGUCAUUCCUCUGGAAAGAAUUUUUCCCCGAUGAGCAGUCACUAGACGUGAGGGCUCUGCGGAAGGUGUCCAACUUCACCAGCUGAUCUGUGAAUCCUGUUUUUAAUGCCACUGUUUUUAAUAUUUCCAAUUAUUUAUUAAGCAAAAUGCCUUAAAAUAUUUGUGACCACUUCCUCAUCAGAGUCAGGUUUAGUUUUUACCUCAAACAUCAAAUUUACUGUAAAUAUUUCUAGCGGUUUUUGUAUUGUUUGUGGGACCCAGCUUUGACUGUUGUUCUUUUAUUGUCAAUCAGUUCAUAUAUACAGUUUGGAUUUCAUGCUUCUCAUUUAAAUGUAAACCAACAAACAAACAAAAAACUUUUCUUUUUUUUAAAUACUUUGUCAC